CUUUCGACUCUUGCUCAUGAAGCCAACGCGCCAUCCAGUUUGGUUGUGUACCACCUGGGUUGGCUGGGGCCCCCUACUUCUCUGCUGCGGCAGUCUGGGUCAUAUAGAAGUAGAUGUGCUACGACAACUAACCUUCAGCUGGUCAGGGUCAGUGUGGUGGGUCAAUGUUAUGUCACGACAGGGUGUCUGACUCCACCCCAGGAUUUGACAUAACCCAUGGCCUGAUGGCCCGGGGCCAAUAAAACAGUAUGUCGGCUCGGGCCAGUGACGCUGUAAGGCUUUUUUUUGUCAGGGGAACAACUCCAGCGGAUUUUUAUCCCACUUUUCUCGAGUCUUCAGUGGAUUUAUUGGGCUUUUUGGCCAAAGAUGCCCUCACCUUUGUGCAGUGAAACGCCGGAGGAGGGGGGAAACGUGCCGGUGCGCCAUCUCCGCCAACGCGGACCCCGCACACCAGGUAUAUUUCUCUCCAACGUGCGUUCGCUAGCCAAUAAACUGGAUGAACUUCAGCUACUGAUGGUGAAAAACGGAGACUUUCUACAUCUGCAGUUUUGUGCUUCACGGAGACGUGGCUGUGUGGAUCGAUACCGGACUCUGCGCUGCAGCUGGCAGGCUUCCAACUCUUUAGAGCGGAUCGUAACACGGAACUCUCCAGCAAAACUAAAGGUGGAGGUAUCUGUUUUUAUACUAAGUGGCUGGUGUAAUGACGUGACAGUGAUCCAGCAGCACUGUUCUCCUGAUCUGGAAUCUUUUUUCAUCAACUGCAAACCUUUUUACUCCCCCCGUGAGUUUGUUUCAUUCAUUCUGGUCGGUGUUUACAUCCCACCACAGGCCAGGAGGUAGGCUACAGCGCACGCUCGCCAACCAGAUAGCUACUGUGUGUGGAGCGGACUUUACCCAGACUCCUUAGUUACUGUCCUUGGCGACUUUAACAAAGGUAACCUCACACAUGAACUCCACAAAUACAAACAGUUUAUAAAAUGUCCGACCAGAGAGAAGAAUAUUCUGGAUCACUGUUACACAACUGUUAACAAAGCCUAUCACCCCGUCCCCUGCGCUGCACUGGGCCACUCUGACCCAGGGGCGGACUUACCAUUAGGCAAAACUAGGCGGUUGCCUAGGGCCCCAAGUUCCUGAGGGCCCCAUAAAAAUCCUCAUACACUUAUGGUUAAUAUAGUUAUUACUUGUUUGCGCACAUUAAUUAUGUUUUUGAAUAAUAUCCUCUCGCUAAAAUGCCAGCAGAAUGCUUAUCGUAUUAUGUGUGUGUCGGGGCCCCCCCUUCAGUCUCCACUACAAUGGAUCAGUCCAUCUUACUGCGCAUGUGCAGAACGGAUCCAGGAAGACAGCAGAAAAACGAAAACAAACGGCGCGAGAAGUGGCGAGAGAGGAAGAGUGGAGUACUGGAGAAGAGAAAAGAAAACACAAAAUGAAAAGAAGCUACCCCAGCGGUGCUGAAAAGAGGAGGAAGAAGGAGGAAACCCGAAAGUUGAUGUCUAAGUUACCGAAAGUGACAAAUUUCUUCACUGCGCCUGCGGCAGCGGCCAGCAGCAGCAGCAGCAGCAGCAACCCACAACCGCACCACAACAUAGAGGACAGCAGCUGCUGCUGCCCAAAUUUGAGCUGUGUAAAGAGGGCCCCAUGCCUGCCUUUGCCUUGGGCCCCAAAUUUCCUAAAUCCGCCACUG